GAUGAACGCCGGCGGCGUGCCUAAUACAUGCAAGUCGAGCGAAUGGAUUAAGAGCUUGCUCUUAUGAAGUUAGCGGCGGACGGGUGAGUAACACGUGGGUAACCUGCCCAUAAGACUGGGAUAACUCCGGGAAACCGGGGCUAAUACCGGAUAACAUUUUGAACCGCAUGGUUCGAAAUUGAAAGGCGGCUUCGGCUGUCACUUAUGGAUGGACCCGCGUCGCAUUAGCUAGUUGGUGAGGUAACGGCUCACCAAGGCAACGAUGCGUAGCCGACCUGAGAGGGUGAUCGGCCACACUGGGACUGAGACACGGCCCAGACUCCUACGGGAGGCAGCAGUAGGGAAUCUUCCGCAGUGGACGAAAGUCUGACGGAGCAACGCCGCGUGAGUGAUGAAGGCUUUCGGGUCGUAAAACUCUGUUGUUAGGGAAGAACAAGUGCUAGUUGAAUAAGCUGGCACCUUGACGGUACCUAACCAGAAAGCCACGGCUAACUACGUGCCAGCCGCCGCUGUAA
rnacentral:rRNA from 1 species